rnacentral:lncRNA from 1 species
CACCACUGUGAACAGGAAGUACACUGCUGCUAGCAAAGUAACGGGCAAACGCACCAUAUUGUAACGGUAAUUGCGUUAUUUCUUUUAAAAUUAUUGCAUUAGAGUAUUAGUUACUGUCAAUAGUAACGUUAACACUGCAUAUGACCCGUGUUUCUACUAUGGAGCCGUGAGUUUCGAUGUCCGUGUAAUCAUAAGUAUGGCCUUACAGCUCAUAUCAGAACAAAAAUGAGAUCCAUGGGGUCAAAAAACUGAAGAAGAGCUGGAGACUGUUGUAGCAAGACACAAAUCUGGACAAGGUUGUUUUUGGUGUUUUUUCUAAGAGCUCAGUGGUCUCCAUAAUUUUGAUUUGGAAGAUGUUUGGGUGGAAAAACCCAAAUCUCUAGUAGAACUGAGAUGUAUUGCGGUGUGGUGGACUCACUGGCAAUUAUUGAGAGGAUUAAGUCCAAAAUAAAUCAUCGUAAGAAGUUUUUGGAAAAAGAAUGUGCUUUACAAGCCCAGUAUGAAGAACAGUGUGACAGUAUCCAGCAUGAGGAGACGGAGAAGCUCACGGAGCUGGAAAAUGAGAAUCAGAGUCUCAGCAAAGAAUUGUUGCAUCUCCGGGAACAGUUGGAAGCUGCAAAAACUAGCCUGUUAACACAUACUACAGAAGAAACAAGACUUAUAGAAGUGAACUUCUAUAAGUCAGGAGCUUCAGGAGCGUAUACAAGGUUUGGAGUUAGAACUCGAAGAGCAAAACAAUUCACUUGUAGCUUGAUAGAGAAAAUGGAAAGUCACAUGUGUGAAAAGGAUUUGGAGAUUCAAAGUCUUAAGGACACAUUGAGUGAUCUUCAGACUGGAAUGAAGAAACAAACCAAUCCCUUUCCUCCUGAGAACGACAUGGAAAACACUGUUAAGGAGUUGAUGGAACGUCACCAGGAAAUGAACGGACUGGAAGGAGAAGAGACCAAACUAGAAACACUUUUGGAAGAAUGUGAAGAUGCAGAAACCAAUGUUCCGUUGGGUGAACCAGUGGAGCUACAGACUGGGACCAGUACUAGCUCUGCUGAUGGGGAGCAGACAUUUUCACACCGUGCUGGCAUCGCAGCAGCUUGUAAAGCAGCUUCAACACUAGCAUUAGCAUACGUGGUGGUAAAAGGACGUCACAGUUUCCUUUUCUCAGGGUAUGGACCAUGUGAGGGGCCCUCAGGAGCUCUAGUCAUCAAUGAGCUCCUUAUGAGAGAACUUUUAUACAGGGACACAUCAGGGCAUAUCACCUCUGAGGAAAACUGGCAGUUGACAGUUGAAACAUGUCAGGAGAUAAAACGUGCAUGUUCUCCCCAUGCUGCGUGGGUUUCCUCCGGGUACACCGGCUUCCUCCCACAAUCCAAAAAAGUGACAGAAAGAAAAAGAAAAAAGAACUGA